GAUGAACGCUAGCGGCAGGCCUAACACAUGCAAGUCGAGGGGUAGAGGCUUUCGGGCCUUGAGACCGGCGCACGGGUGCGUAACGCGUAUGCAAUCUGCCUUGUACUGAGGGAUAGCCCAGAGAAAUUUGGAUUAACACCUCAUAGUAUUUUAGUGUGGCAUCACAUUAUUAUUAAAGGUUACGGUACAAGAUGAGCAUGCGUCCCAUUAGCUAGUUGGUAUGGUAACGGCAUACCAAGGCUACGAUGGGUAGGGGUCCUGAGAGGGAGAUGCCCCGCACUGGUACCAAGACCCGGACCAGAGACCUACGGGAGGCAGCAGUGAGGAAUAUUGGUCAAUGGACGCAAGACUGAACCAGCCAUGCCGCGUGCAGGAUGAAGCAUCUAUGGUGUGUAAACUGCUUUUGUACGGGAAGAAACACCGCUACAUGUAGCGGCUUGACGGUACCGUAAGAAUAAGGAUCGGCUAACUCCGUGCCAGCCGCCGCCGUAACAC
rnacentral:rRNA from 1 species